rnacentral:rRNA from 1 species
GUGGGGAAUCUUGCGCAAUGGGCGAAAGCCUGACGCAGCCAUGCCGCGUGAAUGAUGAAGGUCUUAGGAUUGUAAAAUUCUUUCACCGGGGACGAUAAUGACGGUACCCGGAGAAGAAGCUCCGGCUAACUUCGUGCCAGCAGCCGCGGUAAUACGAAGGGGGCUAGCGUUGCUCGGAAUUACUGGGCGUAAAGGGCGCGUAGGCGGACAGCUUAGUCAGAGGUGAAAGCCCAGGGCUCAACCGUGGAAUUGCCUUUGAUACUGGAUGUCUUGAGUUUGGGAGAGGUGAGUGGAACUCCGAGUGUAGAGGUGAAAUUCGUAGAUAUUCGGAAGAACACCAGUGGCGAAGGCGACUCACUGGCCCAAUACUGACGCUGAGGCGCGAAAGCGUGGGGAGCAAACAGGAUUAGAAACCCGAGUAGUCCCAU